rnacentral:RNase_P_RNA from 1 species
GCGGAGGGCCGGAUGGCCGCUGGGGUCUGCCCCAGAGGAAAGUCCGGACUCCAGGGAACGACGGUGCCGGGUAACGCCCGGGCGGGGAAACCCGACGGAAAGCGCCACAGAAAUGAAACCGCCGUGCCCCGGCACGGUAAGGAUGAAACGGUGGGGUAAGAGCCCACCGCGCCCCCGGCAACGGGGGCGGCACGGCAAGCCCCACCGGGAGCAAUGCCAAAUAGGACCCCCGCGCGGGCCCGGUCCCGCAAGGGAUACCGCCGCUAGGUCAGAUCCUGCCAAGAGGGGUCGGGUUGGCAGCUUGACGCCUGCAGCAAUGCAGGUGCCAGAGGAAUGGUCAUCGAAGGGGGCAACCCCGGAACAGAAUCCGGCUUACAGGCCCUCCGCGCAU